GCUCGCGCUCGGUUGUCGGUGGCGGGCUCAGAGCCUGUUCCUUCGAACUCAGGCAGGCGCGGCGGUCGCCUCUGCGGGGGCCUGGCCCUGUGCUGGAGACAGUGCGAGGCAGGCGCGGCGGUGAGCGUGAGUUGCAUUUGGAAAUGCAGUGGCAGUGGAUGGAGAAAGUGUUUCUUUGGAAAAGUAUUCUCACCUUUAGAGUAUCCUUGCUUGUUUGCACAGCAGGAAAUUUGUCUGCACAGGCCACUUGUCCUGAUAUCACCGUGACUCAACAGCUUCUGAAAGAGGGAUUUCAUAGAGACCUGCUAACAAAGGUAGAACUUGGUGCAGGGGAUGAAGCCAUAGGAAGCUGCACUGUGGCAAUUAAAGAACACCUACCAACAGGACUUUAUGUGGAUCCCUAUGAGUUAGCAUCAUUGCAACAGCACAACCUAACGGAGGCUCUGAUGUUUCCAGAUACUGUUGAUGUGGAAUCUCCUGAGUACUUAGCCACAGACCUUGCCAUUGUUGUUUACAUGAAACCUGACCCUCAGUGUGCUCGGUGUUUUAAAGCCAUGUUGCCUGUGCACUGCCGGUAUCACCGGCCAACAGAGGAUGAUGGGGUAGAACUUUCUCUUCUGAAGAGUCCAGAAAUAUUGAUUCAUUGCCAUAAAAGUUUCCCAUCAGUUGAAUGUUGGAAGUAUUCUGAAGUGGAAGCUCCAUGUUCAGUGAGAAACCGGCAUAUCUGUCAUUGGAACAAUGUGAAGUACAAACCUGUAAAUAAGGAAGUGAUACUGCAGGUUCCAGUGGGGCUCAAACAACAUGGUGCCUUGAGUUCUGAUAGCACGGAUUCGUCUCCCCAUACAGCGAUCAGAUCCAGUACCUUCUGGGACUGCAUGGUCACCUGUGCUGAUCAGCUCGCCACGUUGGCCAAACAGGAAAUGAAAUUCAAAAGUUCGCGGGGCUUUUCUUGUCUACAUGGCCAGUGCAUCUGAAUUGAAAGUGCUGUCCACAGUGGUCACAAUGGAGCACUCUGGGAUAGCUCCCGGAGGCCAAUACCGUCUAAUUACGUCCACACUACCCCAAAUUGGACCCAGCAAGGUCAAUUUCAGCACUAAUCCACUUGUAGGGGAGGAGUACAGAAACCGGUUUUAAGAGUCCUUAAAGUCGGAAAAAAAGGCUUCGUCGAGUGCAGGGCUAAACCGAUCUAACACUGCUAAAUCCGACCUAAACUCGUAGUGUAGACCAGGGCUAAGAGUACAAUUGCUCUCUCUGAAUACAGCAGGGAGGUAAACAACAGGGAGGGUGAAAAGCUAUUGAAAUUAUAGGACAAUGUUGGCUCAGGAUCAAAGGGGUAUAAACUGGUCAUGAACAAGUUCAGGCUGGAAAUUAGAAGAUUUCUAACCAUCAGAGGGAUGAGGGUCUGGAACAGCCUCCCAAUAAGAGUUGUGAGGGCAAACAACUUGAUUAGUUUUAAGACAGAACCUGACAAAUUGGAAUGAGAUUGUAUGGUGUGGUUGGUUGUAAUGGUAAAGGGUGGGGCUCAGCAGCCCUGAGGGUCUCUUCUGGUUUAUGUCUUCUGUUCCUAAAAUCUCUGCUUCAAGGCUAGACACUGAAGAUGUCACAAAGGAUAUCGCGGUGUCUGGAGUGGCUCAACAACUGAGAGUGCAUACCACAGGGUAGACUGUCAGAAAAUAAGGGCAGAUACCCCAAACUGGCGGUAUGUUCUAUAAUUAGAUUUCAUCAAGCCUGUGAAAUCCUGGAUCACUGUACCAGUCUUACAGUGGAGUCACAGACCGUCCUCUUAGCCUCUUCAGUCACCCAAACAAACUGAACUUUGUGAUAAAAGGUUACUUAAACCUAAAAUUGCACCACAUUGUUUCUCCUAGUCCCAAGAGACCAGUCACUUACCCUGAAUCAAUUGAUACUCCAGAUCUUACAUCAAAGACAACGCUGGCAGCCAAUUCUAUAGUAAACUGACUAUAGGUUUAUUAGCUAAGAAAAAAGAAUGAGAGUUAUUGAGAGGUUAAAUCAUGUAAAAUAUAACAGGUAAAUCACAGUUUGAAACUCCAAAUGGUGGUAGAGAUGUAAUGAACUGCUGGUUUCCCAAAAGUCCUUUGGGGCUACCCAGAAUAAUUCUGGGGAUCUCCGUCUUCUUGUUCAGUUAUUGUGCCAUAUUAGAAUGCAAACAGUCCAGAAAUGCAGGAUCUUUCUUUGAAUCCAUAUUUAUAUCUUCUCACAGAAGAGAAGCUGACUCUUUCUAAUCAUGUGGGCUUUUCUUUUGAUUACAGAUAGUGAGGAAUGCACUCACAGUCUUUAACCUCGAAUAUCACACACAAUGAUCUCUUACUUUGAAGUAGCGUUUUCUAUUAAAGUCGUUAAAUACUUGAUUAGCAAUUCAUAAGAUUUCUUUGGUGGGUAAUUUAGUUACAGGGUUAUAAACAAAUGUUUGCUGCUUCAUUACAACAGGAAUAGAUAAGCGAGAACAAUAGAAGUAAGGACCCGAUCGUUUUCAUGCAGUUUAAACAUCUGAAUACGCACUUAUAUAUUCAAGAAUUACUUUGAUCUGUCCUAAUAGCAAGUAAAUUAGCCUGAAUACACUCUUACAUAUAACAAUUGCUUUUGAUCUAUACUAAUGCACAAGUGAACUGGCCUGUGGCCCUGGUUUGCCAGUGUCACUGAGGGAUUUCCUUUUCCCCCUUCCCCCCUUCACCCCCCAAAAGUAUCCUGGGUUUUUCUUAUCUCCUUCCUCUGAAGAAUUACAGAGGCCAUUGCUGGCGAUGAACCACUGGACAGGAUGAGUCAGUGCUCUGGAGUGGUACUGAGCAUUCUCUUUCUCAGGUGCUUGGCUGACUGGUUCUUGCUCACAUGCUCAGGUUCCAACCGAUCAUCAUAUGUGGGGUUGCAAAGGAAUUGUUCCCCAGGUUAGAUUGGCAGUGGCCUUGGGUUUUUUUUUUUUUUUUUAAAUAUGCCUUCCUCUGCAGCGUGGAUGCAGGUUGUUUGCCAGGAUCAUUGGGGUCUCUCUCUCUCUUUCUCUCUCUCUCUCUCACUCACUCUAUCAUUUCCCUGCCCUCGGGCACCAGUGCACCUCAUCCCUUCUAUUCUCUGCUUGUGGCACAUAAUAGUUUAGUCUCCUGUGGGCUGUAAUACUUUGGUCUGAUUUGGUUAUUGGGUUUACUGUGCAGUCAGUGGUGUUGGUAGCUUGUGACAUGCAGAAGAUCAGACUAGAUGAAAGAAAAUUAAACCCAAUAGCAAAAGAUUCUUUAGCCAUAUAAAUAAAAAGAAAACAAGGAAAGAAGAAAUGGUGUCGCUAAUCACUGUGGAUGGGAUGGAGUAUAAAGAUAAUCCAGGGAUGGUCUAACACCUAAACGAAUAUUUUUGUCUCAGUUUAGAAUAAGAGUAAUGAGUAGCUUGGGACAGUGGCAGGAUGGCCAAUAGGAACAAAGGUAUGGAAGUUGAAAUUACCACAUCUGAGGUGGAAGUCAAACUCAAACAUCUUAAUGGGACCAAACGGGGGGGCCUGGAUUAUCUCCAUCCAAUAAUAUUAAAGGAACUGGCACAUGAAAUUGCAAGAGCAAGGAUUUUUAAUGCAUCCAUAAACUCGGGGGGUGAUGCCCUAUGUGACGUUAUUGACAGAAUCUGUAACCGUAUAGAUCACUGUUGCAACCACUGUUAUAUAUUUGCAGCAAAUAUUGUACAAAGGUUGUCAUGUGAGGUGUCUAUGGAAAGGUUAUGAUUUGCUAAUUAUGAUUAUGCUAUCUGUGUGUGUAUCAUUUUUGUAGUUGAAAUUAUGAAUAUUGGCUAUGUACUUGCAUCUCAAUGUGUUUUGAUUCCAAGAAGCCUUAGGGCAUGGCUACACUUGCGAGUUAGAGCGCAUUAAGACAGCCCCGGGCGCCCUAACUCAUGACGCGUCCAUACUGGCAAGGCACGUAGAGUGCCCUAUCUCUGCGGCUGGAGCACUCCUGGUAAUCCACCUCCAUAAGAGGCAUAAUGCUUGGUGCGUCCUGGCUGAAGCACCGCGGUGCCAGUGUGCACGCCCUGGUCUGUUAAUGUGCUCUGAUCGGCCUCCAGAAGUGUCCCACAAUGCCUGUUCUAGCCACUCUGGUCAUCACUUUGAACUCUACCGCCCUGCCGUCAGGUGACCAUCAGACCUGCCCUUUAAAUUCUCUGGGAAUUUUGAAAAUCCUCUUCCUGUUUGCUCAGCAAGGCAUGGAAUGCUCUCAGUGCAUCUUUCCAGGUGACCAUGUGUCCAUGCGCCAGGCAAUCCCCAGUAUGGAGCAAUGGUGGGGUGCUGGACCUCGUCAGUGUGGGGAGGUAGCUGUCCAGUCCCAGCUGCACUCCAGCCAUAGGAAUUGCGGUACCUUUGGGAAGAUAUCAAGGGACAUGAUGGAAAGGGGCCAUGACUGGGACGCCCUGCAGUGCAGGGUUAAAGUGAAGGAGCUGCAGAAUGCCUACCGCAAAGCCCGCAAGGCAAACUGCUACUCCGGUGCUGCCCCUGCAACCUGCCGUUUCUACAAAGAGCUGGAUGCAAUAGUUGGGGGCGACCCCACCUCCACUCCGAGGACCACCAUGGACACUUCAGAGCCCAGUUCAACAAGUCAGGAGGAGGAGGAGGAAAGCGGGAGCGAGGGUGCUGAGGAGGAGGAAGACACCCCGGCAUCCCCAGAUGCAAGCAGCCAGGAGCUGUUCUCAAGCCAGGAGGAAGGUAGCCAGUCACAGUGGCCGGUGCUUGGGGAAGACAAACACCAGAGGACGUGCCUGAUGCAACCUUGAGAUCUCAGCUGUCCGUGUUAUCACCAUCUGAAAGAUUCCAAAGAAUUAGAAAGAGGCCACGUAGAAGCAAAGAGGACAUGCUGCAUGAAGUAAUGCAGCAGUCCCUUCAUGAAAAUCAAAAAGCGCAGGAGUGGAGGGAAAGUGAAAAGAGGUUCUGCCAGCAGAAUGCGGAGUGCUGGCACCAAAGCAUGGAGAGGCUGAUAAGCAUUAUGGAGCACCAAGUGGAAUCGAUCCAGGCGCUCGUAGCCAUGCAGGUGGAGCACUACUGCACCCUCCCCCACUGCAGCCCUUGUCCCAAAACUCUUUCCCUUGUGCCCCCAUGUCACCUCCAACCCACUUUCCCCAACAUCCGGGUUCUUAUCGCCACCAGCUGCCUCCAACACCUGUAGCUUCGUCACCCAGUCCUGCAAACUAUGACCCUUACCCGCUGCACCAUGCAUUUUAGCCAACCUGAAGUCUAACACUCAUUGUACAGCAGUGCAGACAGGAAGUAUGCAAUAGGACAUGAGAACAGGACAUACGCAAAUCUGUGAUUGAACCGUUCCCCAUCCCACCCCCUUGCCCUUUCUGUUUCCCAAGCAGUUGUGUUUCUUUUCAGUAAAUGAAUUUUCUUUUAAAUAAAUGGCUUUUUUGGCUUUGAAAACAUUCUUUAUUAUUGCAUUACAUGAGUCGACAUCAUCGUCAGACUCCUUACUGUCAGUUUGUAGCUUAAGGAGUAACUUGACUGUCAAACGUGACGUGCUGGCGAGACCCAUCAGCAUAUUCCUCAGCACUUCAGGAUCCAUUCUCACAG